rnacentral:rRNA from 1 species
GAUCAUGGCUCAGGAUGGACGCUAGCUACAGGCUUAACACAUGCAAGUCGAGGGGCAGCAUGGUCUUAGCUUGCUAAGGCCGAUGGCGACCGGCGCACGGGUGAGUAACACGUAUCCAACCUGCCUUACACUCUUGGACAGCCUUCUGAAAGGGAGAUUAAUACAAGAUGUUAUCAUGAGUAAGCAUUUUCGCAUGAUUAAAGGUUUACCGGUGUAAGAUGGGGAUGCG